rnacentral:rRNA from 1 species
UGCCAGCAGCCGCGGUAAUACGUAGGUGGCGAGCGUUAUUCGGAUUUAUUGGGCGUAAAGGGUCCGUAGGGGGUAUGUUAAGUUUGGUGUGAAAUACCGAGGCUCAACUUCGGAACUGCAUUAAAAACUGGCAUACUAGAGCAUAGGAGAGGAGAGUGGAAUUCCUGGUGUAGCGGUGGAAUGCGUAGAUAUCAGGAGGAACACCGAUGGCGAAGGCAGCUCUCUGGACUAUUGCUGACCCUGAGGGGCGAAAGCUAGGGGAGCAAACAGGAUUAGAUA